rnacentral:rRNA from 1 species
GCGCACCAGGCGAGAAUUUUUCACAAUGGGGGAAACCCUGAUGGAGCGACGCCGCGUGGAGGAUGAAGGCCUUUUGGUCGUAAACUCCUGUCAAACGGGAACAAGAAAGUGAUAGUACCGUUAGAGGAAGAGACGGCUAACUCUGUGCCAGCAGCCGCGGUAAUACAGAGGUCUCAAGCGUUGUUCGGAUUCAUUGGGCGUAAAGGGUGCGUAGGUGGCAUGGUAAGUUGAAGGUGAAAUCUCGGAGCUUAACUCCGAAACUGCCUUCAAUACUGCUGUGCUUGAGGACUGUAGAGGAGAAUGGAAUUCAUGGUGUAGCAGUGAAAUGCGUAGAUAUCAUGAGGAAGACCAGUGGCGAAGGCGAUUCUCUGGGCAGUUCCUGACACUGAGGCACGAAGGCUAGGGGAGCAAACGGGAUUAGAUACCCCGGUAGU